GGCCCCGUAGCUCAGCAGGUUAGAGCGCCUGCCUCAUAAGCAGAGGGUCGCGGGUUCGAGUCCCGCCGGGGCCA
rnacentral:tRNA from 1 species